rnacentral:rRNA from 1 species
CCUACGGGAGGCAGCAGUGAGGAAUAUUGGUCAAUGGGCGGGAGCCUGAACCAGCCAAGCCGCGUGAGGGAAGAAGGUACAGCGUAUCGUAAACCUCUUUUGUCAGGGAACAAAGGCGGGGACUAGUCCCCGGAUGAGGGUACCUGAAGAAAAAGCAUCGGCUAACUCCGUGCCAGCAGCCGCGGUAAUACGGAGGAUGCGAGAGUUAUCCGGAUUUAUUGGGUUUAAAGGGUGCGCAGGCGGCCGGUUAUGUCAGCGGGAAAAGCCCGGGGCCAAACCCCGCCGAGCCGUUGAAACUGGCGGGCUGGAGUUGGAGAGAAGUACGCGGAAUGCGCGGUGUAGCGGUGAAAUGCUUAGAUAUCGCGCAGAACCCCGAUUGCGAAGGCAGCGUACCGGCUCCACACUGACGCUGAGGCACGAAAGCGUGGGUAUCGAACAGGAUUAGAUACCCCAGUAGUC